GACGUACCCCUGUGGCCAGUAGUGAGGACCCUUGAUGUGUGUAGGGAGUCGGGCUGAUGUGAAGGGCUGUACGCCCGGACCCACCCGGUCACCUGCCGCUAGAGACGACCUCUCCUCCCCCGAGGGCAACCCCCGCCCCAAGCACUGCGCAGGCGCGCACUCGCCCAACGUCCUGCCAACUCAGGGAGGGUCCCGGGCUCGCCCUCUUAACCUGCCAGGCUGAGCUGUUCGGGGGCGCUGCCUUCCUGGCCAGGGGUGCAGCUCAACCCCGUGACCACCUACAUAGUCCUCAGUUCAGGCUCAGACUUGGUGCCCUCAGUCCACGCCCUGUCUGUCCCCCCUUGCCUGCCCCAUGACUUCCACCUGUCCCGGGCCCCCACUCCUCAGAUGCGCCCCUGCCUGCCCCCAGCACUGUCUCUGGCUGGCACCUGCCCUGCGCAGCCCGCGUGCCCUUCCCCUCCCACUAGGCACCGCCCACAGGGCAGGAGGUGAGAAGGGCAGGAGGACAUGUCCCUCUGACCUGGGACCUUCUGGGGUCCAUUGGGGACAGAGGCUUGUGCAAGCCUACAGAGCCCCUGCCUAGUGUGUCCUCUGCCUGGUCACCCUGGCUUUUCCACUGUCAUCUCACAAAUGUGGAGGGGCUGGUUUGUUCUCUGGAGCCUCUCGGUGCACCUUUGUUUUGGGGGUGCUUUUCCUUGGAGUAUUGGACACGGAGAACCUGGAGCCCCUGCUGGCCUUGGAAUGGGAGGAGACACUGGCUGAUCUCAACACAGGUACAAUUGACCCCAAGGCACUAACAGUGAAACAUUCAAAACAGCUCCCAGAAGAAUAGGAUAAUGGAUAGAUAGAAAAAAAAUGGCCUCCUCUGGUUGCUUCAACAUACAGAAAACUCUGGGAUAGAAGAUAUGGUACCUGACUUUCUGCUUGGAGAAUUCCUAAAAAUAUUUACAAUAACUUGUCACUUGUGCACAGUGUAUAAAAUCUCUAUCCCAGGACCUGCCCUUGGGACCAGUUCUGUCAGAGAGAUCUGAGGACUGUUCCUACGUUUAUAUCCCUCCUGGGUGGGAGUUGUCAGGUGAUUCUGUAAUAAACUCACCUAAAAUUCAAGG